AACUUUCGACAAUGGAUCACUUGGCUCUCGCAUAGAUGAAGAACGCAGCGAAAUUCGAUAAGUAAUGUGAAUUGCAGACUUCAGUGAAUCAUCGAAUCUUUGAACGCACCUUGCGCCCUUUGGCUACUCCGAAGGGCAUGCCUGUUUGAGUAUCAUGAACACCUCAACUCUCAUGGCUUGCCAUGAUGGGCUUGGACUUUGGGGGUCUUGCUGGCCUGUGGGUCAGCUCCUCUAAAAUGAAUUAGCUUGCCGGUGUUUGGUGGCAUCACAGGUGUGAUAACUAUCUACGCUUGUGGUUUUCCACCAGGUAACCUUCAGCAAUGGAGGUUCGCUGGAGCUCAUAAAUGUCUCUCCUCGGCGAGGACAGAUCUUUACCGUUUGAUCUCAAAUCAGAUAGGACUACCCGCUGAACUUAAGCAUAUCAAUAAGCGGAGGCU
rnacentral:misc_RNA from 1 species